rnacentral:tRNA from 1 species
CUGGAAAUUGCGCAGCGUCUGCGCCGUCGUGCCCUGCUGCGCCGACGCCGUGAAACGCGCGUGAUAUUCGUCGCGAUACGUCACGAGCGAAUUCAGCUGCACCUCGACGUCGUUACGUUCCUGCUGGAGCUUGCCCAGCUUCUUGGU